GAAAUAGAACUCCCAGGAGUGAGGGGCCGGUGCUGGACACUGUGUAGGGACGCGGGAAUGCAAAGUCAUACACAUGACUGUGACUGAUGCACUAUCUCCAGGACAUGGAGUAGCAUUUCCGGACCUACAGCAAGACGUUGGAUGAAGGCACAGCCCCAGAAAUAACACUGGUCCUGUUCAUUCUUCAUCAGUGAGGGGCCGGUGCUGGACACUGUGUAGGGACGCGGGAAUGCAAAGUCAUGCACAUGACUGUGACUGAUGCACUAUCUCCAGGACAUGGAGUAGCAUUUCGGGACCUACAGCAAGACGUUGGAUGAAGGCACAGCCCUAGGAAUCACACACAUACACAGACACAUUUGCCCAAAUUAUAGAGGUAACCUCCUUUAGUAUGCCCAGAGGAAGGGCAAUACAGUAGCCAUGGAUUCCCUACAGGUUUCCUCCCCUCUGGAGGUUUUUCCUGUCCUGAGUAUUAGUUACUGUACGCUCUUUGUGAGUGAUGGGAGGUUACAAAAAAUCCCCUACACAAACAUUUUCAUAAAUUAUAAAUAAAGUUCCCCUUUUUUUAAACUG